GGCGUCGAGUGGCGGACGGGUGAGUAACGCGUAGGAAUCUACCCAUAUCUCUGACAUAACUGCUGGAAAAGGUAGCUAAUAUCAGAUGAGGCCUACGGGUCAAAGUUUUAAUGGAUAUGGAUGAGUCUGCGUCUGAUUAGCUAGUUGGUAGUGUAAUGGACUACCAAGGCAACGAUCAGUAACUGGUCUGAGAGGACGAUCAGUCACACUGGAACUGAGACACGGCCCAGACUCC
rnacentral:rRNA from 1 species